rnacentral:rRNA from 1 species
CAGUCGCCGCGGUAAUACAGAGGGUGCGAGCGUUAAUCGGAUUUACUGGGCGUAAAGCGUGCGUAGGCGGCUUUUUAAGUCGGAUGUGAAAUCCCUGAGCUUAACUUAGGAAUUGCAUUCGAUACUGGGAAGCUAGAGUAUGGGAGAGGAUGGUAGAAUUCCAGGUGUAGCGGUGAAAUGCGUAGAGAUCUGGAGGAAUACCGAUGGCGAAGGCAGCCAUCUGGCCUAAUACUGACGCUGAGGUACGAAAGAAUGGGGAGCAAACAGGAUUAGAUACCCGAGUAGUCCCUGUCUCUUAUAC